UCCUUGGAGCUCCUGCAGUGCAACCCUUCCCCCAGCACUGCCAAGGACACCCAUGCCCCCAGGUGCCAGGUCUCUGUGGGUCUUGGACACUUCCAGGAAUGGUGGGGAUUCCAACACUUCCCUGUGACGUGCGGAGUAAGGAAAUGGUCAUGGCAGCAUUCCAUGGAUCUGGAGAGUGCCAGUUUCAAAGCCAUUUUCACUGGAAAAACAUGGAAAAGGAACAUUUUGCUGGAAGGAAAUCAGCUGGGAUUCCAGGCAUAGGCAUGGGUUAAGAUUUCCCUCGGCCAGGCUGAGGCAGCUGGGAUCUGCCCACAAGGAUCCAUCUGGCAGCUGCCAGGCCCCAUUCCCACCAUCCUGGAAGUGCCAUCUGGCUCAUCCAUGCCCUGGAUCCCACACGGAUCCCACUUGGAACUGGGCUGGCCUGAACCUCCCUUAUCAAUAUGGAACACUCCCAAUAACUGAUGCAGGCAAAGCAAUCAAUUACAGCACCAAGAAGGGACAACAGAAAGGUGUGAAUGGAAAAACAGCCAUAGGAGUGUGGGACUUCUUCCCAAGUUUCUGGAGCUGUACAUGGAUUUUUGGUGCAGGAAGAACCUCCCCUUUGCAAACCUUGGGAGCUUCACCACUGGAAUAGAAACAAAUCCAGGAUGGAUCCCCUUUAUUUGCCAGGAAAAGGCAAUGUUGAACCCAUGGUGCGGCAUUUCCUGUGCCCCUGCUUUGGACAAACUUCCCAGCCAUUCCCAAUUCACACCAAUGAACCAAACAGAUGGAGCUGGUCCUUUGUUAAUCUUCCUCUGGAUUUGUCUGGGGCUUGCUCUAAUUGAUUCUGAGCUGAGCUUCCAUUCUCCAGGAGGGAAAAAUAAAAUCAAAUUUCCAGAUUUAACUCCAGUGCAUCAAUUCCAUUUCCAGGGGUUUUGGGGUUUGAUUUCCUUGGAUAAUUUCCUGGCACUCUGGGUUUGGAGCAGGAGCAGAUUGCUGCAGUGAUGCUCCGGAGGUGUGCAGGGACACAUCUGCAGUCUGUACCCACCUCACCCUAGGCUAAGGCUUUGGAAAAACAGGAUUUUUAUAAGUUGUCCCCUAGAAUCCUGGAAUUCUUCAGGUUGGAAAAGCCCUCUGUGAUCACCAAGUCCAACCAGCAGCGUAUUCCCCACUAAUCCAUGUCCCCAAGUGCCACAUCCACAG